CCUACCCUGUCCCCUACCCUGUCCCCUACCCCGUCCCCUACCCUGUCCCCUACCCUGUCCCCUACCCCGUCCCCUACCCCCGUCCCCUACCCUGUCCCCUACCCCGUCCCCUACCCUGUCCCCUACCCCGUCCCCUACCCUGUCCCCUACCCCGUCCCCUACCCUGUCCCCUACCCUGUCCCCUACCCCGUCCCCUACCCUGUCCCCUACCCUGUCCCCUACCCUAGUGUUAGAGGAGGUCCUACCCUGUCCCCUACCCUAGUGUUAGAGGAGGUCCUACCCUGUCCCCUACCCUAGUGUUAGAGGAGGUCCUACCCUGUCCCCUACCCUAGUGUUAGAGGAGGUCCUACCCUGUCCCCUACCCUAGUGUUAGAGGAGGUCCUACCCUGUCCCCUACCCUAGUGUUAGAGGAGGUCCUACCCUGUCCCCUACCCUAGUGUUAGAGGAGGUCCUAGUCUGUCCCCUACCCUAGUGUUAGAGGAGGUCCUACCCUGUCCCCUACCCUAGUGUUAGAGGAGGUCCUAGUCUGUCCCCUACCCUAGUGUUAGAGGAGGUCCUAGUCUGUCCCCUACCCUAGUGUUAGAGGAGGUCCUAGUCUGUCCCCUACCCUAGUGUUAGAGGAGGUCCUAGUCUGUCCCCUACCCUAGUGUUAGAGGAGGUCCUAGUCUGUCCCCUACCCUAGUGUUAGAGGAGGUCCUAGUCUGUCCCCUACCCUAGUGUUAGAGGAGGUCCUAGUCUGUCCCCUACCCUAGUGUUAGAGGAGGUCCUAGUCUGUGCCCUACCCUAGUGUUAGAGGAGGUCCUAGUCUGUCCCCUACCCUAGUGUUAGAGGAGGUCCUAGUCUGUCCCCUACCCUAGUGUUAGAGGAGGUCCUAGUCUGUCCCCUACCCUAGUGUUAGAGGAGGUCCUAGUCUGUGCCCUACCCUAGUGUUAGAGGAGGUCCUAGUCUGUCCCCUACCCUAGUGUUAGAGGAGGUCCUAGUCUGUCCCCUACCCUAGUGUUAGAAGAGGUCCUAGUCUGUCCCCUACCCUAGUGUUAGAGGAGGUCCUAGUCUGUCCCCUACCCUAGUGUUAGAGGAGGUCCUAGUCUGUCCCCUACCCUAGUGUUAGAGGAGGUCCUAGUCUGUCCCCACCAUACUGUUGUCCCCUACCCUAGUGGAAUGGCUUCUGUCUGGCCAGUCUACCAUAAAGGCCUGAUUGGUGGAGUGCUGCAGAGAUGGUUGUCCUUCUGGAAGGUUCUCCCAUCUCCACAGACGAACUCUGGAGCUCUGUCAGAGUGACCAUCGGGUUCUUGGUCACCUCUUUGACCAAGGUCCUUCUCCCCCGAUUGCUCAGUUGGCCGGGCGGCCAGUUCCAGGAAGAGUCUUGGUUCCAAACUUCUUCCAUUUCAGAAUGAUGGAGGCCACUGUGUUCUUGGGGACCUUCAAUACUGCAGAAAUGUUUUGGUUCCCUUCCCCAGAUCUGUACCUCAAGACUAUCCUGUCUCGGAGCUCUACGGUCAAUUCCUUCAACCUCAUGGCUUGGUUUUUUUCUCUGACAUACACUGUGGGACUUUAUAUAGACAGGUGUGUGCCUUUCCAAAUCAUGUCCAAUCAAUUGAAUUUAUCACAGGUGGACUCCAAUAAAGUUGUAGAAACAUC